CUACGGGUUGCAGCAGUAGGGAAUUUUGCGCAAUGGGCGAAAGCCUGACGCAGCUACGCCGCGUGAGUGACGAAGCCCUUCGGGGUGUAAAUCUCUGUCAGUGGGGACGAAAAUUGACUGUACCCACAGAGGAAGCAUCGGCUAACUACGUGCCAGCAGCCGCGGUAAGACGUAGGAUGCAAGCGUUGUCCGGAAUUAUUGGGCGUAAAGAGUUCGUAGGCGGCAUGUCAAGUCUGGUGUUAAAGCCCGGGGCUCAACUCCGGUCCGGCACUGGAUACUGGCAAGCUAGAGUGUAGUAGAGGCGAGGGGAAUUCCCAGUGUAGCGGUGAAAUGCGUAGAUAUUGGGAGGAACACCAGUGGCGUAAGCGCCUCGCUGGGCUAUAACUGACGCUGAGGAACGAAAGCCAGGGGAGCAAAUGGGAUUAGAUACCCCGGUAGUC
rnacentral:rRNA from 1 species